rnacentral:rRNA from 1 species
CAAAAGCUCAAAUUUGAAAUCUGGCACCUUCGGUGUCCGAGUUGUAAUUUGAAAAUUGUAACCUUGGGGUUGGCUCUUGUCUAUGUUUCUUGGAACAGGACGUCACAGAGGGUGAGAAUCCCGUGCGAUGAGAUGCCCAAUCCUAUGUAAGGUGCUUUCGAAGAGUCGAGUUGUUUGGGAAUGCAGCUCUAAGUGGGUGGUAAAUUCCAUCUAAAGCUAAAUAUUGGCGAGAGACCGAUAGCGAACAAGUACAGUGAUGGAAAGAUGAAAAGAACUUUGAAAAGAGAGUGAAAAAGUACGUGAAAUUGUUGAAAGGGAAGGGUUUGAGAUCAGACUCGAUAUUUUGUGAGCCUUGCCUUCGUGGCGGGGUGACCCGCAGCUUAUCGGGCCAGCAUCGGUUUGGGCGGUAGGAUAAUGGCGUAGGAAUGUGACUUUGCUUCGGUGAAGUGUUAUAGCCUGCGUUGAUGCUGCCUGCCUAGACCGAGGACUGCGAUUUUAUCAAGGAUGCUGGCAUAAUGAUCCCAAACCGCCCGUCUUGAAACACGGACCAAC